AAAAACAAACUAUGUCAUAAGGCCAGAAUAACUGUGAUAUCAAAACCAGAUGAGGAUAUUACAUAAAAGGAAAAUUACAAUAUAUCUGUUUCAUGAACACAGACGCAAGCAUAUUAAACCAAAUAUUAGCAAAGAGAAACCAGUAACAUAUUGACCAAGAGAGCUUUAUUUUAGAAAUUCAAAGGCCAUUUAAUUUAAUUUUUUACCAUAACCUCAAACAAGUAUAAGUUUAAUUUUUAAAAAAUCAAUGUAAUCUUUCAAUGUUAACUAAUAAAGGAGAAAACCAUUCAAUUAUUUCAUUAGAAAUAAUCCAUUUAACAAUAUACAACAUUAAUCAUGAUAAAAAUUCUCAGCAAACCAGGACUAGAGGGGAACUUCUUUCAUCUGAUAAAGGGGACCUAAAGAAUAAAAACUACAACUACCAUUGUACAUAAAGGGAUCAUUAUACAUAAUAUGGACCACUGUCUUUCUGAUUUCAGGAACAAGGUAAGGUUGUCUACUCUUACAUGUCUUUUCAAUUUUGUAGUAGAAGACCUAUCCAAUAUUAUAAGGAAAAAAUAAAAGGUGUAAAUGGAAGGAAGUAAAAUGAUCUUUAUUUGCAGAUAGUGUAGAUUACAUGAUUAUGUACAUAAAAAUAUUUUUUAAUUCCACAAGCUUUAAAUUAAAUAAUUUAUUGCUGAAUAAAGGGUAAAAGUAUAAAACAAUUAUAUUAAAGCAAAGCUACUGAAAAAUAAAAUUUUUAAAACCUUAACAGUUUGUAAAAACAUAAAAAAUGUAAAACAGGAAUAAAUUUAACAGAUGUGCAAGACCUUUAGACAGGAAACAACAAAACCUUAAGGAAAGAAAUUAAAGAUGAAUUCAAUAAAUGGAAAUGUAUUCCAUGUUCAUGAACUGUAAGACUCAAUUUUGAGAUAAUUCUCUCUAAAUUUAUCUACUGAUUCAAUGUACUGCCAACAAAAUGUCAGCAGGGCGUUUUGUUUGUUUUGAGAAAAUUAAUUAACUCAUUCUAAAAUUAUAGAGCAAUGCAAAGAACCUGGAAUAGACAAAGUGAUUUUGAAGAACAAAGUUGUUCUUCAACUUAUAUUACCAGAUUAUCAAGAUAUAAUAUAAAGCUACAGGAAUUAAAAUGGAGGUGCUGGCACAAAGAUUGACAAAGAGGACCAACGGAAAAGUAGAAAGACUCCUGCACAUAUAUGGGCCCAUGCUUUACAGUAAAAGUCUGACUGCAGCUUAAGAGAAGGCCAGUGUUUUUAACAAACGGUGCCAGUGCACUUGGAUAUCUGUAUGAAAAAAAUGAUUUUGAACUUCAUCCCACUACAUACACAGAUAUAAAUUCAAGAUGGAUCAUAGGUCUAAGUGUGAAAACAAACAAUAAAGAUUCUGGAGGAAGAAACAGAAAAAUAACUUUGUGGUCUUGGGAUAGAUAAAAUUUUCCUUUUUUUUUGUUUUAACUUUUAAUUUCCACUUAUUUUAGACUUAGAGAAAAGUUGCAAGAGUAGUACAGAGGGUUCUCAUAUACCCUUCAUUCUAGCGUUUAUCUUACAUAACCAAAGGAUAAUUAUCAAAACCAGGAAAUUAACAUUGGUACAAUACGAAAAAUUUGCACAUCUUAUUCAAAUAUGUUUUCCCAUUAAUGUCCUUUUUCUUUUCCAGGAUCCCACACAUUAAUCUACGUUGCAUUUAGCUGUUAUUUCUCUUUAGUCUCUUCCGAUCUCCUUAGACUUUCUUACUGCAUUAAUUUUCAGUUGCUACCAUAACCAAUUACCACGAAUUUAGCUUAAAACAACAUAAAUAUAUAAAAUCUCACAGUUUCCAUGGACCUGGAGUUUAGCUGGGUGCUGUCCUCAGGCUGGUCUCACAGGCUGCAAACGAGGGGUUACCUGGGCUGUGUUCUCCUCUGGAGUUCAACUGGGGGAGAAUUCAUUUCCAGGUUCAUUCAGAUUGUAGGGAGAAUUCAUUUCCCUGUGGCCAUACGACUGAGGGCCUCACCUUUUUGCUGACUGUUGGCUGGAGGUUGCCCUCAGGUUCUGCAGGCCACCUGCAGUUCCUUUGCAAGAUGGGCUUCUCCAACAUUGCCACUUACUUCAUCAAGCCCACAAAAGAAGUCCAAUCUGCUAUGAGUCUUAUAUGGUAUAACAUAAUCACAGUAGAGACAUCUCGUCACUUUUUUUUUUCAUAUGAUAGGUUUAUUUUUAUUAUUUUAAGGAACCUUCAUACUGUUUUACAUAAUGGCUAUACCAAUUGAUAUUGCCAUCAACAGUGUACAAGUGUUCCCUUUCCUCUACAUCCUCACCAACACUUAUCUAUUUUCUUUUCUUUUCUUUUUUUUUUUUGAGACGGAGUCUUGCUCUGUCACCCAGGCUGGAGUGCAGUGGCGCGAUCUCAGCUCACUGCAAGCUCCGCCUCCCGGGUUCACGCCAUUCUCCUGCCUCAGCCUCCCGAGUAGCUGGGACUACAGGCGCCUGCCACCGUGCCCGGCUAAUUAUUUUUGUAUUUUUAGUAGAGACGGGGUUUCACCGUGGUCUCAAUCUCCUGACCUCGUGAUCCGCCCGCCUCGGCCUCCCAAAGUGCUGGGAUUACAGGGGUGAGCCACCGCGCCCAGCCCACUUACCUACUUUCUUUUUAUAAUAGUCAUCCUAACAGGUAUUGUGGUAACAUCUCAUUGUGGUUUCAUUUGCAUUUGUCUGAUGUGCUUUUCAGGUACCACUUAACCAUUUGCGUGUCAUCUUUGGAAAAAAGUCUAUUCAAGUCCUUGCCCAUUUUUAAAUUGGAUUAUUGGUUUCUUUUUCUUCAAAAUUAAUUAAUUCAUUUUUAUUUUACUUUAAGUUCUGGGAUACAGGUGCAGAUGUGUAGGUUUUUUACAUAGGUAUAUAUGUGUCAUGGUGGUUUGCUGUACCUAUCAAUCUGACAUUUAGGUUUUAAGCCCCACAUGCAUUAGGUAAUUUGUCCAGUGCUCUCCCUCCCCUUGCCCCCCAACUCCCCGACAGGCUCCAGUGUGUGUUGUUCCUUUCCCUGUGCCAUGUGUUCUCAUUGUUCAACCCCCACUUAUGAGUGAGAACAUGUGGUGCUUGGUUUUCAGUUUCUGCAUUAGUUUGCUGAGAAUGAUGGCUUCCAGCUUCAUCCAUGUCCUUGCAGAGGACAUGAUUUCAUUCUUUUUUAUGGUUGCAUAGUAUUCCAUGGUGUAUAUGUGCCAUAUUUUCUUUAUCCAGUCUAUCACUGAUGGGCAUUUGGGUUGGUUCCAAGUCUGCAAUUGUAAAUAGUGCUGCAAUAAACAUACGUGUACAUGUGUCUUUAUAGUAGAAUGAUUUAGAAUCCUUUGGGUAUAUACCCAGUAAUGGGAGAUUCCUCAAGGAGCUAGAACCAGAAAUACCAUUUGACCCAUGACUUUUGCCAUAUAAAUUAACCUAAUGAGAGGAGUGACAUUUCCUGACCUUUGCCAUUUUCCACUGAUUAGAAGCAAGUCACCACCUCUGCUCAUACUCCAGGGGAGGGGACUAAACAAGGCUGUGGACUCCAGGAGGUGGGAAUCAUGGGGCCACCUAACAUCUGCCUGUCAUACCUAUCUUCAUGUCCUUUCAAUUUGGAAGAGUACCAAUAAUUUAUUCUGUCAAAUUUCCCCCCGCUGGGUUUGUAUGAUGUGUUUUUAUAACUGAAAUGAGGCAUGUAUUCUUGGCAGUGGCACAGUAAUGAUGCUGUGUCUUUCACAUUGCAUCAUCAUGUCCAAGGGUGCAUGAUAUCAAUGUUUUAUUACUGGUGACAUUAACCUUCAUCACUUGGUUAAAGUGUUUUCUCCUGUGUUUUCCUUCUGUACAUUACUACCUUCCCAUUUGUAGUUAAUAAACAUCUUGGGAGGGUAAUACUUUAACACUAUGCAAAUCCUCUUUCUCCUCAAACUUUCACCCACUAACUUUAGCAUCUCUUAUCUUGGUGUCCAAUGUGAGGAUACACUGCAGCUCCCCUAUGUACAUAAGUUCUGCUAAUAAACACUUUGAAUUGGUCACCCUGGUAUUGCUGUUUCUUUCUUUGGAAUCCCAACAGCCCCAUCCUGGGAUGGUUUGGGGCAGUCCCUUUAGGGAACUCCCCUGCCACUGCUUUUGGGGUGACUCCAGCUGAGUGUUCAGCAGGACAAAAUAAGGUUGUUUCUGGUAUUUGACUACUAUGAAUAAAACUUCUAUGAAC
rnacentral:lncRNA from 1 species